GUCUACGGCCAUACCACCCUGAACGCGCCCGAUCUCGUCUGAUCUCGGAAGCUAAGCAGGGUCGGGCCUGGUUAGUACUUGGAUGGGAGAUUAAUUUUUUAACUACUCUGGAGGUGGAAAGUCCCAGGAUCAAGGGCC
rnacentral:rRNA from 1 species